CGCUCAACCUAUCUUCUCGUUCCUCUUCAUAUGCGCUACAAGCCUACGACUACAAGGCACACGCAUCCUCAUGGCUUGUAUCAGUAAAUAUUCUGGAAAAUUAGGAAUGGCUUCGAAUCCAUUUCAAUGCCACUCUUUGCAGCUUUCCCAAAUUCCCACGUCUUCUCUUUCUUAUCCAUUGCCCAAUUGCAGGCGAAUCCAGCCAUCACGGUUUCAACUGGCUACACCCACAAUCCGAAUUUCAUGCGUUUCCGUCAGUCGCAAGAGUAAAUCCAGUGACAAAUCCGAAGCUCAAGAGCUGGUUCGCUUGCUUAUGGGCAAGUUUAGUGACAGAGAGCCGAUAUUGAAGACAUUGAACAAGUAUGUGAAGCUGGUAAGAACCGAGCACUGCUUUCUGCUGUUUGAAGAGCUUGGAAAGCAUGAUAAUUGGCUGCAAUGCCUUGAGGUUUUCAGAUGGAUGCAGAAGCAACGCUGGUAUGUUGCUGAUAAUGGGGUUUACUCAAAAUUAAUAUCAGUAAUGGGAAAGAAAGGACAAACGAGACUGGCUAUGUGGCUUUUUACGGAGAUGCGCAAUACUGGCUGCCGCCCAGAUACUUCAGUCUAUAAUGCACUCAUCACAGCCCAUCUUCAUUCACGGGAUAAAACAAAGGCUUUAGCCAAAGCUCUUGGUUACUUUGAGAAGAUGAAAGGAAUGGAACGAUGUAAACCCAACAUUGUAACAUACAACAUUCUGUUGAGAGCUUUUGCCCAAGCUCGGGAUGUGGAUCGAGUAAAUUUCUUGUUUAAAGACCUCAAUGAGAGCAUUGUUUCACCUGACAUUUACACUUUUAAUGGUGUCAUGGAUGCUUACGGAAAAAAUGGGAUGAUCCGAGAAAUGGAAGCUGUACUCUCUCAAAUGAAAAGUAACCAGUGUAAGCCUGACAUAAUCACCUUUAAUCUGCUUAUUGAUUCAUAUGGGAAAAGGCAGCAAUUUGAUAAGAUGGAACAGGUUUUCAAGAGUUUAUUACGCUCCAAAGAGAAACCAACUCUGCCUACAUUUAAUUCAAUGAUUUUGAACUAUGGGAGGGCACGUCUUAGGGAUAAAGCAGAAAAUGCUUAUAAAAAGAUGACUGAGAUGGGUUACAAACCUAGCUUUGUCACUUAUGAGAGUCUAAUCUAUAUGUAUGGUCUAUGUGAUUGCAUUUCCAGAGCCAGAGAGUUAUUUGAUGGGCUGAUUGAGUCAAAAGUUGAGAUAAAAGUUUCAACCCUAAAUGCAAUGCUCGAUGUUUACUGCAUGAAUGGUUUGCCCAUGGAAGCUGAUGCUCUUUUUGAGGGGGCAAGAAGUAUACAAGUUUUUCCAGAUUCAUCAACGUAUAAACUUCUUUAUGGGGCUUAUACUAAAGCCAGUUUGAAGGAGCAUCUAGCUAAAUUGCUAAAGCAUAUGGAUAAAGAUGGUAUUGUCCCUAAUAAGAGAUUCUUCUUGGAUGCUUUGGCUGCUGUUGGGUCUCUACCAGCAACUUCAAAAUCAGAAAAUGCUAGUGCUGAUUCAAGCAAACUACAAGAUCUUGCUAAGGGUCAGCUAUAAAGGUAGUUGGCAGUUCAUGCGAAUGAAACUCCUAAUGAAUAUAUCUACUGGAGACUUGCAUAAAAGAGAAUAGCUCCCUUGUAAGGUGGAUCUGCUAACCUUCAAUACUCUGAUCCUUUUACUUGCAUGCUCAACAACGCCGAAUCAUGAUUUUUUGCAAAGAAAUUUUGUGAGAACGUUGAGUGCAUUUUCGCUUGAUAGUUUAAAGCACUCCGAUCAUUACUGCUGGGGGAGUUUUCAGGCCUAUUUGCUUCUUGGGAAUCGACUAUUGUUACAUGAACUCCAUUCCUCUUUCCCCUCGUUUAUUUAUGAUAUUUAAUAGGAUGAUGUAAACUAAAGACUUUAUUUAGAUGAAAUUUUAUUUUAGGUAGAGCUGUGGUCUGUGGAUGGGACUGUCACAAGAGUGAAACACUGAAUUUUUUUUAAUAGGAUCUUCAUAAACGGAAACAUGAACAUAAACCCUAAACCCUGUUUCUAAGCUUGGCUUAUGUUUUAACUUAUUCCAUCCAUUUUGUUCUUGUCUAA